rnacentral:rRNA from 1 species
UACGUAGGGUGCGAGCGUUAAUCGGAAUUACUGGGCGUAAAGCGUGCGUAGGCGGUUCGUUAAGUCAGCUGUGAAAGCCCCGGGCUUAACCUGGGAAUUGCGGUUGAAACUGGCGAACUAGAAUCUGGCAGAGGGGGGUGGAAUUCCCGGUGUAGCGGUGAAAUGCGCAGAUAUCGGGAGGAACACCAGCGGCGAAGGCGGCACUCUGGGCUGGAACUGACGCUGAGGAGCGAAAGCGUGGGUAGCAAACAGG